GAUGAACGCUGGCGGCGUGCCUAAUACAUGCAAGUCGAGCGAACAGAUGAGGAGCUUGCUCCUCUGACGUUAGCGGCGGACGGGUGAGUAACACGUGGAUAACCUACCUAUAAGACUGGGAUAACUACGGGAAACCGGAGCUAAUACCGGAUAAUAUAUUGAACCGCAUGGUUCAAUAGUGAAAGACGGUUUUGCUGUCACUUAUAGAUGGAUCCGCGCCGCAUUAGCUAGUUGGUAAGGUAACGGCUUACCAAGGCAACGAUGCGUAGCCGACCUGAGAGGGUGAUCGGCCACACUGGAACUGAGACACGGUCCAGACUCCUACGGGAGGCAGCAGUAGGGAAUCUUCCGCAAUGGGCGAAAGCCUGACGGAGCAACGCCGCGUGAGUGAUGAAGGUCUUCGGAUCGUAAAACUCUGUUAUUAGGGAAGAACAAAUGUGUAAGUAACUAUGCACGUCCUGACGGUACCUAAUCAGAAAGCCACGGCUAACUACGUG
rnacentral:rRNA from 1 species